GGAAUUGUUCGCAAUGGGCGCAAGCCUGACGACGCAACGCCGCGUGGAGGAUGAAGGUCUUCGGAUUGUAAACUCCUGUUGCCCGGGACGAAUGGCCACGACCUAACACGUCGGAGUGUGACGGUACCGGGUGAGGAAGCCCCGGCUAACUCUGUGCCAGCAGCCGCGGUAAUACAGAGGGAGCAAGCGUUACUCGGAAUUACUGGGCGUAAAGCGCGCGUAGGUGGUUGGUUAAGUUGGAUGUGAAAGCCCCGGGCUCAACCUGGGAACUGCAUCCAAAACUGGCCGACUAGAGUACAGUAGAGGGUGGUGGAAUUUCCUGUGUAGCGGUGAAAUGCGUAGAUAUAGGAAGGAACACCAGUGGCGAAGGCGACCACCUGGACUGAUACUGACACUGAGGUGCGAAAGCGUGGGGAGCAAAC
rnacentral:rRNA from 1 species